UACGUAGGGGGCGAGCGUUGUCCGGAUUUAUUGGGCGUAAAGAGCUCGUAGGCGGCUGUUCGAGUCGGGUGUGAAAUCCUGAGGCUUAACCUUGGGUCUGCAUUCGAUACUGGGAGGCUUGAGUAUGGGAGAGGGAUGUAGAAUUCCAGGUGUAGCGGUGAAAUGCGUAGAUAUCUGGAGGAAUACCGGUGGCGAAGGCGGCAUCCUGGACCAUUACUGACGCUGAAUCGCGAAAGCUAGGGGAGCAAACGGGG
rnacentral:rRNA from 1 species